rnacentral:lncRNA from 1 species
AUACUAACAAGUUCAAGAUACUCUAAGGACAUCAUUGAAAAGAGUAAUCAUUGAGUAGCUGAAUUUGUAAAACGAAAAGCGGAUCCUUGAGAAGAAAAAAAUUACUACAUCAUACCCUCAAAUUGGGACAAUCUGGACUCUAAUUGAUCAAUAGUCUUCUUUUGCUCUUGAAGCUCAACAUCUUGUGAAUCCAAUCUACUUUGUUGUGAAGAUAUAAUACCAUGCAAUCUGUCAGCCUCAGAAGUAUCAACACCAUGGUUUGAAGUUGGGCGUGGUCCGUUGCCAAGUCCUCGAAAAUAGCCUGAUUUCUUUCCAAGUACUUCAAUGCAUAUUUCCCUUUGAGUUAGUGGUUUUGCUUCUUCAGGAUCGGUUUGUUGCUGUUGUUGUAUCUCUACCAUUUGGUCCUAUACAUAAAGCUUCGUUAGUAAAUGAAGGAAGAAAAAAAAGAAUUUUAUUAAUUAAACAGUUGAAAUUUAAUCCAUUGGUCAUGGAAUUAAUUUGUAUUAAGGUAUAAAUUGAAAAAAAAAGAAACUUGCUGUUAUACUUAUAAAUCUAAUUA